rnacentral:rRNA from 1 species
AACGAACGCUGGCGGCAUGCUUUACACAUGCAAGUCGAACGGCAGCGCGGGGCAACCUGGCGGCGAGUGGCGAACGGGUGAGUAAUACAUCGGAACGUACCCAGAAGUGGGGGAUAACGUAGCGAAAGUUACGCUAAUACCGCAUACGUUCUACGGAAGAAAGUGGGGGACCUUCGGGCCUCAUGCUUUUGGAGCGGCCGAUGUCUGAUUAGCUAGUUGGUAGGGUAAAGGCCUACCAAGGCGACGAUCAGUAGCUGGUCUGAGAGGACGACCAGCCCCACUGGGACUGAGACACGGCCCAGACUCCUACGGGAGGCAGCAGUGGGGACUUUUGGACAAUGGGCGCAAGCCUGAUCCAGCAAUGCCGCGUGAGUGAAGCAGGCCUUCGGGUUGUAAAGCUCUUUUGUCAGGGAAGAAACGGCUGAGGAUAAUACCUUCGGCUAAUGACGGUACCUGAAGAAUAAGCACCGGCUAACUACGUGCCAGCAGCCGCCGUAAUAC